rnacentral:rRNA from 1 species
AGCGAACGCUGGCGGCAGGCCUAAUACAUGCAAGUCGAGCGCACCUUCGGGUGAGCGGCGGGCGGGUGAGUAACGCGUGGGAACGUGCCCUUUGGUACGGGAUAACUGAGGGAAACUUCAGCUAAUACCGUAUGUGCCCUACGGGGGAAAGAUUUAUCGCCAUUGGAGCGGCCCGCGUUGGAUUAGGUAGUUGGUGAGGUAAGGGCUCACCAAGCCUACGAUCCAUGGCUGGUCUGAGAGGAUGAUCAGCCACACUGGGACUGAGACACGGCCCAGACUCCUACGGGAGGCAGCAGUAGGGAAUCUUGCGCAAUGGGCGAAAGCCUGACGCAGCCAUGCCGCGUGUAUGAUGAAGGUCUCAGGAUUGUAAAAUACUUUCACCGGUGAAGAUAAUGACGGUACCCGGAGAAGAAGCCCCGGCUAACUUCGUGCCAGCCGCCGCGGUAAAAC